rnacentral:rRNA from 1 species
GAAUCUGGGAGGACCAUCUCCUAAGGCUAAAUACUCUCUAGUGACCGAUAGUGAACCAGUACCGUGAGGGAAAGGUGAAAAGCACCCCGGAAGGGGAGUGAAAUAGAACCUGAAACCGUGUGCUUACAAGUAGUCAGAGCCCGUUAAUGGGUGAUGGCGUGCCUUUUGUAGAAUGAACCGGCGAGUUACGAUUUGAUGCAAGGUUAAGCAGUAAAUGUGGAGCCGUAGCGAAAGCGAGUCUGAAUAGGGCGUUUAGUAUUUGGUCGUAGACCCGAAACCAGGUGAUCUACCCUUGGUCAGGUUGAAGUUCAGGUAACACUGAAUGGAGGACCGAACCGACUUACGUUGAAAAGUGAGCGGAUGAACUGAGGGUAGCGGAGAAAUUCCAAUCGAACCUGGAGAUAGCUGGUUCUCUCCGAAAUAGCUUUAGGGCUAGCCUCAAGUGAUGAUUAUUGGAGGUAGAGCACUGUUUGGACGAGGGGCCCCUCUCGGGUUACCGAAUUCAGACAAACUCCGAAUGCCAAUUAAUUUAACUUGGGAGUCAGAACAUGGGUGAUAAGGUCCGUGUUCGAAAGGGAAACAGCCCAGACCACCAGCUAAGGUCCCAAAAUAUAUGUUAAGUGGAAAAGGAUGUGGCGUUGCCCAGACAACUAGGAUGUUGGCUUAGAAGCAGCCAUCAUUUAAAGAGUGCGUAAUAGCUCACUAGUCGAGUGACACUGCGCCGAAAAUGUACCGGGGCUAAACAUAUUACCGAAGCUGUGGAUUGUCCUUUGGACAAUGGUAGGAGAGCGUUCUAAGGGCGUUGAAGCAUGAUCGUAAGGACAUGUGGAGCGCUUAGAAGUGAGAAUGCCGGUGUGAGUAGCGAAAGACGGGUGAGAAUCCCGUCCACCGAUUGACUAAGGUUUCCAGAGGAAGGCUCGUCCGCUCUGGGUUAGUCGGGUCCUAAGCUGAGGCCGACAGGCGUAGGCGAUGGAUAACAGGUUGAUAUUCCUGUACCACCUAUAAUCGUUUUAAUCGAUGGGGGGACGCAGUAGGAUAGGCGAAGCGUGCGAUUGGAUUGCACGUCUAAGCAGUAAGGCUGAGUAUUAGGCAAAUCCGGUACUCGUUAAGGCUGAGC